rnacentral:rRNA from 1 species
CUACGGGGUGCUCCAGUGGGGAAUAUUGCACAAUGAGCGAAAGCUUGAUGCAGCCAUACCGCGUGUGUGAAGAAGGCCCGAGGGUUGUAAAGCACUUUCAAUUGGGAGGAAGGUUAAGUAGUUAAUACCUGCUUAAUUUGACGUUACCUUUAGAAGAAGCACCGGCUAACUCUGUGCCAGCAGCCGCGGUAAUACAGAGGGUGCAAGCGUUAUUCGGAAUUACUGGGCGUAAAGCGCGCGUAGGCGGACUAUUAAGUCAGUUGUGAAAGCCCUGGGCUCAACCUGGGAACUGCAUCUGAUACUGGUAGUCUAGAGUUUAAGAGAGGGAAGUGGAAUUCUAGGUGUAGCAGUGAAAUGCGUAGAUAUCUGGAGGAACAUCAGUGGCGAAGGCGACUUCCUGGCUUAAAACUGACGCUGAGGUGCGAAAGCGUGGGUAGCGAACGGGAUUAGAUACCCCCGUAGUC